rnacentral:tRNA from 1 species
GCCAGCAUGGUUUAGUGGUUUGAGCACUGGACUAUAACUCUGGAGACCAGGGUCCGAUUCCCAGCUCAGCUA